UACGUAGGGUGCAAGCGUUGUCCGGAAUUAUUGGGCGUAAAGAGCUCGUAGGCGGUCUGUCGCGUCGGCUGUGAAAUCCCGAGGCUCAACCUCGGGUCUGCAGUCGAUACGGGCAAACUGGAGUGUUGCAGGGGAGACUGGAAUUCCUGGUGUAGCGGUGAAAUGCGCAGAUAUCAGGAGGAACACCGGUGGCGAAGGCGGCCCCCUGGGCCGCGCCUGACGCUGAGACGCGAAAGCGCGGGGAGCGAACGGG
rnacentral:rRNA from 1 species